CUGCUUAAUUUUUCUCACUGUCAGGAAAUUUCUCCUGAAUUCCAGGGUACUUGUCUCCCUGGUUAUUUUCCACCCAUUAUUUCUUGUCUUCCCUUCUGGUGCUUUGGAAAAUAGGCUGACCCCUCCCCUCUUCCUUGUGGCAGCCCCUCAGGUAUUGGAACUGUGCUAUCGUGUCCCUGCUACUCCUUUUUUUCACUAUAGUCAGGAUAGAGAAUCAGAGGGACCUUGGAGGUCUUCUAGUCCAACCCCCUGCUUAAACAGGAGAACACUGCAAUUUGAAAGAAGUGGCUGUCCACAGUCUAUUCUUAAAAGCCUCCAGUGAUAAAGCACCUACAAUUUUUGGAAGGCAAGCUGUCCCACUGGUAGAUUUCAUAUAAUCAUGUGAUGGAUACGGUGUCACUAAAAUAGCAAUUAUAUUUAGGCUUAUAUACCUCCCCAUAGUGUUUCCCAGUAGCUGGCGAGAAGCUUUCUGUAAGUGUUGGAAACUAUCCUACUUUCACUGCAGCUGCACAGGAGCACUGCAGCGCUAAAACUUUCCAAAUUUCGAUCCCAAAGGAAUAUAUGGGUCCUCUAUUUUGGACGCAUUCUAUAGAGGUAUAUUGGUCCCAAGAAUUGUCCUAUUGUGCACCGUUUUGCCCAGUGUGAAUCAAAAGGCACAACCCAAAGCAAAUAAUCCAGGCUCACUGCUGUGUUUAUUGAACGGGAUUAGUAUCCUGAACUCGGGACGUUGGUUCCUCUGGAUAACUUUGAACAUCAGCUCACAGAUGUCCUACACAAGAAGCCUCCUCCCCCCAUCUCCCCCCCUCCUCCUGCAAGACCAACCCUUGAGAAAAGGCCUAGGGGCAGAGGAGGAGGAGACCGAGGCAAAGUCUAAGGAAGGAAGUGAAUUCACAGCAAGUUAAACGGACUGUGUGAUGCUGUUGCUUCAUAUUGUUUCAUCAUUUGUUUCCUGACACUGAAUGUAUGUACCAUUUGUUUCUGUGCCCUCUUAAAAACAUGAACCCCCCUCCCUUAAUAAAUGUUUUUGCUUGGCUUGGA